GAAAUGCGAUAAGUAAUGUGAAUCACAGAAUUCAGUGAAUCAUCGAAUCUUUGAACGCACAUUGCGCCCGCCAGUAUUCUGGCGGGCAUGCCUGUUCGAGCGUCAUUACAACCCUCAGGCCCCCGGGCCUGGCGUUGGGGAUCGGCGGAAGCCCCCUGCGGGCACAACGCCGUCCCCCAAAUACAGUGGCGGUCCCGCCGCAGCUUCCAUUGCGUAGUAGCUAACACCUCGCAACUGGAGAGCGGCGCGGCCACGCCGUAAAACACCCAACUUCUGAAUGUUGACCUCGAAUCAGGUAGGAAUACCCGCUGAACUUAAGC
rnacentral:misc_RNA from 1 species